rnacentral:rRNA from 1 species
AGCAGCCGCGGUAAUUCCAGCUCCAAUAGCGUAUAUUAAAGUUGUUGCAGUAAAAAAGCUCGUAGUUGAAUUUCGGGGUUAGUAGGUUGGUCAUGCCUCUGGUAUGUACUGGUCUCACUGAUUCCUCCUUCCUGAUGAACCUUAAUGCCAUUAAUUUGGUGUUUUGGGGAAUUUGGACUGUUACUUUGAAAAAAUUAGAGUGUUUAAAGCAAGCUAACGCUUGAAUACAUUAGCAUGGAAUAAUGAAAUAGGACGUUCGAUCCUAUUUUGUUGGUUUCUAGGAUUGACGUAAUGAUUAAUAGGGAUAGUUGGGGGCAUUAGUAUUCAAUUGUCAGAGGUGAAAUUCUUGGAUUUAUUGAAGACUAACUACUGCGAAAGCAUUUGCCAAGGAUGUUUUCAUUAAUCAAGAACGAAAGUUAGGGGAUCGAAGACGAUCAGAUACCGUCGUAGUCUUAACCAUAAACUAUGCCGACUAGGGAUCGGAUGAUGUUAAUUUUUUAAUGACUCA